rnacentral:rRNA from 1 species
UACAGAGGUCUCAAGCGUUGUUCGGAUUUAUUGGGCGUAAAGGGUGCGUAGGCGGCUUGGUAAGUCGGGUGUGAAAUCUCGGAGCUUAACUCCGAAACUGCAUUCGAUACUGCCGUGCUUGAGGACUGGAGAGGAGACUGGAAUUUACGGUGUAGCGGUGAAAUGCGUAGAUAUCGUAAGGAAGACCAGUGGCGAAGGCGGGUCUCUGGACAGUUCCUGACGCUGAGGCACGAAGGCCAGGGGAGCAAACGGG